AAAAAAGUCAAGAUACCAAAAGUUGAGGAGGUCAGGUGGAACCUCGCGCCUGCAGGAGAAAGGACUGCCGAACAACUGAGAAUCGUAACUCAACUGCCCAAGACCAUAGAAGGUAUAAAUCACAAAACCAAGAUUCAAGUCCAGACUUUCUGAAUUCAAAACCAGUGUUCUUCUUAAUCUCUGGCUUUUAGAACUUCUGAUGAAAGUUUGCAACUGAAUAAAAUUACAGCUAUGACCAGAAUGACAGUCUGCAGGAACAAUACUGCUCCUCAGUGAGAUUGGAUGAAUUAGAAGAAAUUCUUCAAAUGAAAAGCUCUGUAUUAUAGAAGAUUUCAAUGUUCUGAGCAAACAGAAACACUGGGAGGAAAAUGAAAGAAUGCUAUAGCUGGAAGGAACCUUCUCUUUUUCCAAACA